GUGUGACUGUUAUAUUAAAGUAUAAAUGUCUUACCUGUUUGGUAGGCAUACUGAACGAGAUAAUUAUAUCAUUCAAUUGGUACCCUUUUAGGCGACGGAAGAAGCUCUGCUUCCUCUUUUUUUUUUCUUCAACGAAUUUCCCAAGUUUCUUGGCCCGUAAUCUCCAUGUCGCUUCUAAACAAUGUCUCCAACACACAAGUUUGGGAUGUAAUGGUAAAAGCAUUGUAAAUUCAUUGAAUUGAUUCGUCGUUAGUGCUUUGUGGAGUGCGCCAUGUCGUAAGUCGUUGAUAUCGACUCAACAUUGAUCACAGUGCCAUUUGGGUGGUGGAAAUCCUAAAGUGGGCAACUGCAAACAGCACAGGAGAAAUGUGAUGCUUUACUGAAACCGUGUCCCAAAUUUUCAUCUUCAAUGUAGUAUAAAGAGGCAAAACUUCAACGAAUGUCAUCAUUUCAUCUUCAUCUAUUCCUCCUCUUGUACAUAUUUCUAAAUCUUGUGAACAGGAGCAAUUCACAACAUGCUCAGUUGAAG
rnacentral:lncRNA from 1 species